CUAUACAUGCAGUCGAGCGGAGAUUUAAAAGCUUGCUUUUAAAUCUUAGCGGCGGACGGGUGAGUAACACGUGGGCAACCUGCCUAUGAGACUGGGAUAACUCCGGGAAACCGGGGCUAAUACCGGAUAAUUCUUUUCUACUCAUGUAGAAAAGGU
rnacentral:rRNA from 1 species